GAGGGUGUAGCUCUGUGGCAGAGCCCAUGCUUAGCAUGUAUGAGGUCCUGGGUUCAAUCCCCAGCACCUCUG
rnacentral:tRNA from 1 species